AGUGAACGCUGGCGGCGUGCCUAAUACAUGCAAGUCGAACGGAAUUUAAGAGAGCUUGCUCUUUUAAAUUUAGUGGCGCACGGGUGAGUAAUAUAUAGCUAAUCUGCCCCUUGCUGGAGGACAACAGUUAGAAAUGACUGCUAAUACUCCAUACUCCUUUUUACCAUAAGAUAAAUCGGGAAAGAAUUUCGGCAAGGGAUGAGACUAUAUCGUAUCAGCUAGUCGGUGGGGUAACGGCCUACCGAGGCUAUGACGCGUAACUGGUCUGAGAGGAUGAUCAGUCACAUUGGAACUGAGACACGGUCCAAACUCCUACGGGAGGCAGCAGUAGGGAAUAUUGCGCAAUGGGGGAAACCCUGACGCAGCAACGCCGCGUGGAGGAUGACACUUUUCGGAGCGUAAACUCCUUUUGUUAGGGAAGAAUAAUGACGGUACCUAACGAAUAAGCACCG
rnacentral:rRNA from 1 species